UACGGAGGGUGCAAGCGUUAUCCGGAUUCACUGGGUUUAAAGGGUGCGUAGGAGGACAGGGAAGUCCGUGGUGAAAUCUCCGAGCUUAACUCGGAAACUGCCGUGGAUACUCUCUGUCUUGAAUCCCCUGGAGGUGAGUGGAAUAUGUCAUGUAGCGGUGAAAUGCUUAGAUAUGACAUAGAACACCGAUUGCGAAGGCAGCUCACUACAGGGGCAUUGACUCUGAGGCACGAAAGCGUGGGGAUCAAAC
rnacentral:rRNA from 1 species